AUUGAACGCUGGCGGCAUGCUUUACACAUGCAAGUCGAACGGCAGCGGGGGCUUCGGCCUGCCGGCGAGUGGCGAACGGGUGAGUAAUGCAUCGGAACGUGCCCAUGUCGUGGGGGAUAAUGUAUCGAAAGGUACGCUAAUACCGCAUACGUCCUGAGGGGGAAAGCGGGGGAUCUUCGGGCCUCGCGCGAUUGGAGCGGCCCAUGUCGGAUUAGCUAGUAGGUGAGGUAAAGGCUCACCUAGGCGACGAUCCGUAGCGGGUCUGAGAGGAUGAUCCGCCACACUGGGACUGAGACACGGCCCAGACUCCUACGGGAGGCAGCAGUGGGGAAUUUUGGACAAUGGGCGCAAGCCUGAUCCAGCCAUGCCGCGUGAGUGAAGAAGGCCUUCGGGUUGUAAAGCUCUUUCGGCCGGGAAGAAAUCGUGUUCUCUAACAUAGGACAUGGAUGACGGUACCGGACUAAGAAGCACCGGCUAACUACGUGCCAGCAGCCGCCGUAAGAC
rnacentral:rRNA from 1 species